GAAUAUGGGACAAUGGGGGCAACCCUGAUCCAGCCAUGCCGCGUGUGUGAAGAAGGUNNNCGGAUNGUAAAGCACUUUAAGUGNGGANGAAGGGCUUUAGGUUAAUAGCCUGAAGUUUUGACGUUACCAACAGAAUAAGAACCGGCUAACUCUGUGCCAGCAGACGCGGUAAUACAGAGGGUGCAAGCGUUAAUCGGAAUAAAUGGACGUAAAGCUCGCGUAGGUGGUUCAGUAAGAUGGGUGUGAAAUCCCCGGGCUUAACCUGGGAACUGCUUUCAUAACUGCUGAGCUAGAGUACGGUAGAGGGUAGUGGAAUUUCCUGUGUAGCGGUGAAAUGCGUAGAUAUAGGAAGGAACACCAGUGGCGAAGGCGACUACCUGGACUGAUACUGACACUGAGGUGCGAAAGCGUGGGGAGCAAACA
rnacentral:rRNA from 1 species